rnacentral:lncRNA from 1 species
CCCAAACAGAGAAACACAGACAGCACAGCAGAUGAAUAUGAAUGAAAUGCAAACAUUAAUGCAAAUAAUAAAUGCAAGCAAUAAAUGCACAUAUAUACAAUGAAUGCAAUAAAAAAAAAAGCACAAAGCAACCAAAACCCUAACCUAGAGAGCGCUAGGAGAGACUCGCUCAGGGAAGAUGGACCAGCAUAGGUCAACUUCUCUAUGUCCCCAGCAGAGUCGCCAGCUGUCGCAUCACGCGAAAAACCGGCGGGAAAACAAG